rnacentral:lncRNA from 1 species
AUGCUGGAGGUUCGCUAGCCGAAGCGGCUGCAUCUGGCGCCGCGUCUGCCCCGCGUGCUCGGAGCGGAUUCUGCCCGCCGUCCCCGGAGCCCUCGGCGCCCCGCUGAGCCCGCGAUCACUUCCUCCCUGUGACCAACCGGCGCUGCAGGUUAGAGCCUGGCAAUGCCGUUUGGGUGUGUGACUCUGGGCGACAAGAAGAACUAUAACCAGCCAUCGGAGGUGACUGACAGAUAUGAUUUGGGACAGGUCAUCAAGACGUGAGUGCCGGGCCUGUCAGGCAAGGCUGGGUGGGCUGGUGAGCAGGGGCUAGGGAAGUGGCAGUGGAGUGCAGCUGAUGCUAAGGCCAGGCCUGAGUGGGUGCCUGUCGGCUGCAGUGAGGAGUUUUGUGAAAUCUUCCGGGCCAAGGACAAGACGACAGGCAAGCUGCACACCUGCAAGAAGUUCCAGAAGCGGGACGGCCGCAAGGUGCGGAAAGCUGCCAAGAACGAGAUAGGCAUCCUCAAGAUGGUGAAGCAUCCCAACAUCCUACAGCUGGUGGAUGUGUUUGUGACCCGCAAGGAGUACUUUAUCUUCCUGGAGCUGU